ACUAAUUUGGCAGAAUUAAGUGCAUUAAGUUUAGAACUUAUUUAUAUUGUUAUAACAUUAUUUAGUA
rnacentral:tRNA from 1 species